GCCAGGCAUGGUGGUGCAUGCCUGUAAUCCCAGUUACUCGGAGGCUGAGGCAGGAGAAUCGCUUGAACCCGGGAGGCGGAGGUUGCAGUGAGCCGAGAUCGUGCCACUGCACUCCAGCCUGGGCAACAAGAGCGAAACUCUGUCUCAA
rnacentral:SRP_RNA from 2 species